rnacentral:rRNA from 1 species
GACGAACCGUCCUAACGUUGUUCGGAAUCACUGGGCUUAAAGGGCGCGUAGGCGGCUUGCCAAGUCAGGGGUGAAAUCCUGCAGCUUAACUGUAGAAGGGCCUUUGAUACUGGCGAGCUCGAGGGAAGUAGGGGUAUGUGGAACUUCCGGUGGAGCGGUGAAAUGCGUUGAGAUCGGAAGGAACGCCCGUGGCGAAAGCGAGAUCCUGGACGUCUUCUGACGCUGAGACGCGAAAGCUAGGGGAGCAAACGGG